rnacentral:tRNA from 1 species
GCCUUCGUGGUGUAGUGGUCAGCACACUCGACACGUAACCGAGAGGUCCGUGUUCCUUCCUUCUUCGCAUGCCUUCACGGUGUAGUGGUCAGCACGCUCGAGGCUUAACCGAGAAGUCUGUGGUUCGAUUCCCGGCGAAGGCG